rnacentral:ncRNA from 2 species
AGCAGCCGCGGUAAUUCCAGCUCCAAUAGCGUAUAUUAAAGUUGUUGCAGUUAAAAAGCUCGUAGUUGAAUUUCGGGAUUGACACAUCGGUCGUGCCUUAAGGGGUAUGAACUGGUGUAGUCAAUUUCUCACCUUCUGGAGAACCGCGAUGCCCUUAAUUGGGUGUCGCGGGGAACCAGGACCUUUACUUUGAAAAAUUAGAGUGUUUAAAGCAGGCAUUUUGCUUGAAUACAUUAGCAUGGAAUAAUAAAAUAGGACGGCAUGAUUCUAUUUUGUUGGUUUCUAGGAUCACCGUAAUGAUUAAUAGGGAUAGUUGGGGGCAUUAGUAUUCAAUUGUCAGAGGUGAAAUUCUUGGAUUUAUUGAAGACUAACUACUGCGAAAGCAUUUGCCAAGGAUGUUUUCAUUAAUCAAGAACGAAAGUUAGGGGAUCGAAGACGAUCAGAUACCGUCGUAGUCUUAACCAUAAACUAUGCCGACUAGGAAUCAGACGAUGUUAAUUUUUAAUGACUCGUUUGGCAC